GAUGAACGCUGGCGGCGUGCCUAAUACAUGCAAGUCGAGCGAACAGACGAGGAGCUUGCUCCUCUGACGUUAGCGGCGGACGGGUGAGUAACACGUGGAUAACCUACCUAUAAGACUGGGAUAACUUCGGGAAACCGGAGCUAAUACCGGAUAAUAUAUUGAACCGCAUGGUUCAAUAGUGAAAGACGGUUUUGCUGUCACUUAUAGAUGGAUCCGCGCCGCAUUAGCUAGUUGGUAAGGUAACGGCUUACCAAGGCGACGAUGCGUAGCCGACCUGAGAGGGUGAUCGGCCACACUGGAACUGAGACCCGGUCCAGACUCCUACGGGAGGCAGCAGUAGGGAAUCUUCCGCAAUGGGCGAAAGCCUGACGGAGCAACGCCGCGUGAGUGAUGAAAGUCUUCGGAUCGUAAAACUCUGUUAUUAGGGAAGAACAAAUGUGUAAGUAACUAUGCACGUCUUGACGGUACCUAAUCAGAAAGCCACGGCUAACUACGU
rnacentral:rRNA from 1 species